rnacentral:rRNA from 1 species
UACGUGGGGCGCGAGCGUUGUCCGGAAUUAUUGGGCGUAAAGAGCUCGUAGGCGGUUUGUCGCGUCGGUUGUGAAAACCCAAGGCUCAACCUUGGGCCUGCAAUCGAUACGGGCAGACUAGAGUACUGCAGGGGAGACUGGAAUUCCUGGUGUAGCGGUGGAAUGCGCAGAUAUCAGGAGGAACACCGGUGGCGAAGGCGGGUCUCUGGGCAGUAACUGACGCUGAGGAGCGAAAGCGUGGGGAGCGAACAGG